GAUAAAGAUGUUGUAUCAGAAGGCUCUGGUGCAGUUGGUGUGUAUGACCAAUGGGUUUCACCUCCUAUAUCUGGUCCACGGCCAAAACCUCGAUACGAGCAUGGGGCAGCCGUUAUUGAUGAUAAGAUGUAUAUAUUUGGAGGGAACCACAACGGACGCUACCUUAGUGAUCUACAGGCUUUGGAUUUGAGAAGUUGGACAUGGUCGAAAAUAGAGGUUAAAUCAUCUGGUGAGGCUUCUCAAGCGCCCGUAGCUCCCUUUGCUGGUCACUCCCUGAUACCAUGGGGAGGAAAUAAGCUCAUUUCAAUUGGUGGACAUACAAAAGAUCCUUCUGA
rnacentral:misc_RNA from 1 species